UGUUUACAAAUAUUUGUGUAGGUUAUAUAUUCAAAACAUUGGUACAUUAUUUUCUUCUCUAGCACUGUAUAAGAAUCCGCUAUACGGAUUGAGAAUUAUUUGUUGUGAGCUAUCUAAAGAUAAACGGUCCCCGAUACUAAAAUUGAGUAAUAACAAGAAAGAAAUAAACUUUGAAUUAAAGGAAUGUUCCCCCAUAGCAUUGCCGUCCGGUCCAUUACAACCGUUCCCAGCAUCAAAGUUUUCUUUUUCGGUGCAGUUUGCGAAUUCGUACUGGUUUCCUCCUGAUAUCGAGAUGGUAGUUAAUCAUCACUACUGGCGUUUCGUAUAUAAUCCGUCAUUGUAUCAUCACCAGUGAAAUCCUGACAGCUGCAAAUUUCUCCAUCGAAACAUUCGUCACACCCGCGCUCUACAACGGAAGCAGCAACACCUAAUUCUAAUGGCAUCAACCAUAAUAGGUUUUAGUUUUUUUCUGGAAUAGAAUUAAGAAAAUAGUAUUUACAUCAUAUAUAUAAAAAAUAAAGCUAGUCAUACUUACACCCGUUCAACUUAGUUAUUUCCGUGAUGAAGUUAAUUUUAGCGAUAUGCGAUGACCCGAGUUCAUCGGCAAUACUUCACCGGAGCUGUAAACAUGGGUUGGAAAGUAGGCGGAAAAAUAAUGCACAUCAUCGUUACCUUCAUCAUCCAAUAAGAUUUUAUAAUAUAUGAAUCCUAAUUUUGUCUCAUUUUGUCUCAACAAGAUUGAACGUUUUUCUGGAAUUAAAAUAGGAGUUGAUUACACAUAUUCUAUGAGUACAAAAUAAAAACUAUCCAUACGUACGAAUUUGAUUCUCGAUCCAAUCUCUGUUGUGUUUUGAAUGACAGUUUAGAGAGAAAGAGAGAGAGAGAGAGAAAACAAUCUCUGCAGUAAUGCCGUUUGGCUCAGUACAAGUACUCACGAUAGCUGCAACUAUACGCAGUGCUGCUUGCGGGUGCAUGGUGGGGGUAGAUUCCUGCACUUUUGUAGCACUUUAUGGCGCUCGGUCGACAUUGAACCGACAACCGCUUGAAAAUAAUUUAGAGCAGGUAUCGAUGCAAGUGUCAGAAAUUUUCGAGUUGUUUGGUUCGCUUUUUGCAUAUCUUCAGAGAAUUAUUUUGUUUUGGUUUGCGUCCUUGCUAUUUUCCUUUGGGAAACAUUUCAGAAACGCUAAAUAAUAUGCAAUUUUCAACACAUGUUCGUUUGUUUUGAUCAGCAUUUGUUUUACGGUGCUGCCAGAAUAGUGUAUACAAGAGCAUAUUUCAGUGGCUGAAAAUGAGUGGACAGACAAAUCAGCACCAGUUUGAACGACUCGUUGAACCAAUGAAAGCGAAGGUAAACAUUGCUCGAGGUAUUUGUGGAGGCAGUUCAAAUAGAAUCCCCGUUAAGGAAAAGUUGAGGAGCUUAAUGCACUGAGACCAUCAAUGUGUCUUGGUUCAGAAUGGCAGAAAAUUUGGAUCGACAUGAGGUGAAAGGUAAAGAAAACACUAGCACACAACAAGCGAGAAUUUAGGGCCACAGGUGGUGGCCCAAUACAUGCAAAAAAAAAAAAUUUGUCAAGAAAAGUGGGAUUCAUGCGUAACUCCUUACGGAAUUCCAUAGAUUGCAGUUGUGAAAAUACAUGAAAAAGUUCAUUUUCUAAUAAUUAUAUUAUAUUUUUGUAAAACAAUUUGUUCCAUGAUGUCGUUUUUAUUACACAUCCAUGAAUGCAUUACGUCUAUUAAGCUUCAUUCGUUGAGGAAAUACCAGUUUUCUCCAAAGCAUAACGAUGUUAACACCUUUGGAAAUAUAGAUAUUUAUAAUUUUCGUAGCAGAUGUCUCAAAAAAAAGAUUUGGCAUCCUUUCUAUAGUGCUUUGUGAAACAUAUCAAAUUCGUUUCAAAAUAUUUCAGCACGGCCACUGACAUUCGAGCAGAGUAACGAAUCGAGCUGUUUUCCUCGAUUUCUAUGGGCCCUAUUAUAGAAAUCUAUCACACCGAGUUAAAUCUGGAAUUAAAGAAAUCGAGGAAAACUGCUCGAAUAAUUCUCUGAAGAUAUGCAACAAGUGAACCAAACAACUCGAAAAUAGAGAUUUGUCAGGUAAAGACUAUCUUCAUUUAUGAGACUGGUCAUUUGACCUUUAUUGUUGCGUUCAGGCCUGGUUUAGAUAGCUUACCAUCAGUACGAAUGAUCAGUCAGAAGUGCAAAGAAGUACUUCAGAAUAAUUUCAUUCUGUUUCUGCAUCAAAAACACCGUGAUAACUGUGUAUUUUGGCAUCAAAUCAUAAAAUCCGGAAGGUCAAGGCGUGGUUUAAUGGAUAGGGGCUUAACAUUGUGUCGGCUCAGAUCAAACCUCUAUCAAGAAGUAACGAGGAGCGAUCAUACGAAUGGUAGAUGCAGCUUACAAGAAGUAUGAGUGAAUUGAGCUGUGUCCUGAAGUGCCCAGUACUUUUCCAUUGGGCAAAAUUCUGGACGGUUCGGUGGAUUUGCUGUUUUUGGCGCAUAUUUGACCUCAUGUGCAUUAUACCAUUUCAUAAACAACGCCGUGGCUUCUUAUGAACGGUAGCAACCGCUUCUGGAGACAUUCCUUCUCGUAGACAUCUUUAUUGAUAGUGCCGGUAGAGACGAAAGAUUUGGAUUUUCGGACACAACUGCAUAUGGCCUGCCAAACCAAGUACUUUUUGGGGAAUUUAGAAUGCUACGGCAUUCCUUCGCAUUGCAGCGUAAAAAGCGAGACCCGGAAGCUGUUUAAAGUCUUUGAUAUCGUAAGUUUCAUCGUCCAUUAUGGUGCAUGAACAUUUUUGGAAAACUAGGUGUAGCUUUUUGCAGUGAAAUUUUGCUUAUCAUCACGAUUGGGCACCUUUUUCACUUUGUACGCCUUCAGUCCCGGUCUCUGCUUCACUUUUUGUACAUAUGAUUUUGAUUUUCCAACCUUUCGAGCCACAUUUGUUUUCUCAAUAAUGGCAACCACCUUUCGGUCCAUCUGUCGGGAGCAUACUUUUCGAUUUAUUCCGUUUCCAACGCUCCGAUCCACAGUUAAGUGCUGGUCAAACGAUUUGCACACACUAAACACGGUACUCUUUGGCAGUUUUAGAUUUUUGGCGAGAUCGCGUACCGACAGUGUUGGAUUUUACUGCCGUUCGCGCAAAAUGCGUUUGCGUACUUCCACUUGAUUUGACGCCAUUUUACCAAAUUGAAGAAGAAUGUAAACAUGUUGGACAUCGAAAUAAAAGGGAGGGUUUCAGCUGUCAUGUAAGUGAAAUAUUUCAUAAACUACACUGAAAGAAAAGUGUCCAAAAUUUAACGUGGACAGGCUUUAGUAGGACGAGAAAACCAUGCAGGAAGGCCGUAAUGCAUCUUACUAAAUCGGCACUACAGAGAGUUACACUAACACUAACGCAGCAACUUGUGACUAAUGUGAUCAACAGUCAUAAAAUUUGGCCAGAGAACUGAAGGAAAUGUGGGGGCUGAGGGAGGCCCCUGGAAUUAUUCCAGUCGUUCUCUCUGGAACUGCAAUUUUUCCGAAGACACUACGGGAAGCGCUAAAGGAUCUGGAUAUGGAUGAGGAAUUGGAUUGAACAAUUUCUAGACACCUCUAACGGAUGUCCUGUCGGAUUUCGAAUACAUUUUAGCUGGUUAUCCUACCCGCGGUUUGUAUUUUUUUCAAGAAUUUUUCAUCAGUUUAUUCAACUCAGUUAUCUCAUCAUCAUCAUUAUUACCAAUAUCGUCGGGGACAGUGGUGAAUCGGUUCAGUUUCUCAUCUUCACUGCGCCUGUUCACCAUUAUCUUCAUCGUCAAUUGUUUUACUUAGAUAGCUAAUUAUUUAUGAUUUGUUUCAUUCGUCUUGUUUCUGUCCAUUAUUUUGUGUCUCCUUCUAGUAUUUUGUUUUCCUGCGCAUUUUUGUUUUUAUUUUUCUGUUUCAAUGUUUUGAUUGGAUUGUUUUCCUUGUUUGUUUCUCUCGCGCUGUCACCAAUGUUCAAUUUACGUUUCGACGGAAGGCAAAUCCGAACCUGCUUAAUCAUUCACUCUAUAACCGUGCGAGAAACUGUUUUGUGACCUGUUGUUUUGAAAUAGCAAGAAAAAACUAAAUUUCAUUGGUCUGCGCGCUUGCGUGUUUGCUGUGUUUAUUUGUGGAACUGUUUAAACUUAACCAUGUUUUGCAUGUUUUGUUUUUAUUUGCUGCUUACAUACUUAUUACAUUAUGAAUUUCAUUCAAACUGAACCGCGCGUUUAUUUGAAGUGUCAUACAGUUUGGUUUUUUUUUGCUUCUGGAGAAACAGGCAUUACAGAAUGUACACAUUAACGCUUUUUAUAUUGUUUUUUUUGUUUGUUUUCGUAAAAAAUCUUAGAUGAGAAACAAGAAAACGAAAAAUAUGUUUCCAUAGAUUAUGCUUACACAUUAGCUAAAAAGUUUCCUUAAUUUCUCCCCCCUUCUCUCGUCUUAACUAAAUGAACAUUUUACUUCCAAUUUUUGUCUGAAAAUUUUCACAACUUUUCCACUAUUUACAAUGUUUGUUAGAUUUUUUUUAAUUUCUGGUUUUCUUCUGUGUGUAUGUAUGUGUUUUUUCUCUGUCUCGUUUCAUCUGGUUUCUUUUGCCCUCUGGGACCUCAUUCUUCACAGAAGAUGAAGCUCAUUUAGUUUCGAUUUGUUAAUGUUUUGGAUGAUAACGGUGCGUAUAUCGUCCUUUUUCUCUCUCUCUAUAUCUCACCAUGCGUACUUGAAAUGUUUGCGUGAUUAUUUGUCUCGAUUACAUUGGGUUUUUCUUAUCUCUCUCUUGUGUUUUACAGAUUGUUUAAUUAUAGUACGAACGAAGGAAGGUUGUUUCCUCCCGAUUGUUACAAAACCUUUCUGCUGCUUGUGUUUUUUUUUAUAAUAAUGCAUUUGACUAACUAAGAGAUCAAAAUGAAUUAUUUCUUUAAAAGUAUUAUCUUUUGAUAUUUAAAAAAAACUCAGAUUGUAACUAGUUCGAAAAAUAAGCAAAAUAAAAAGUACCCUCUCUCUUCUCCGCACGUCAAGGUAUAAUAAUAUCUGUUCGCUGCUGUUUGGGCGUCACAUU